rnacentral:misc_RNA from 1 species
UUUUUUUUUAUUUUUUUUGGUUUUAUGUCAAUUUCAUAGUUUUAAGUUUUGGAUUAAUUUCAGUGGAUUCUUCUAGAUUUAAAAUUUCUGUUGUUGCAUCAUCUCAAGUUUUAUGCAAUGUUCUUAAAGCUGAAUUUUACCCUUAUAUUUCUUCUCUGGAUUCCUGUAAGGAACAGUGCAUUGUGUCGAGUUAACUGUUUAGGCUUGGGUUGAAUUUGAUCAAUGCAUUUUAUUUUUAUUAGAUUGUUUGAUGGCUAAUUUUGUCUUGCCAAUAUUAUCAAAAGCAUUUCAUUCUGUAUCAUAAUUAAAUGGAAAUUCAAUUAAUGUUUCUGCUUAUUUAACUAGUUUUCUUAUUUGUCAUGGAGAAUAAAAUUCAACUAUUUUUUUAAAUGGACUUUUUAUUGUCAUGAGAGCAGCAAAUUUGGAAUGACAUUGG